CGGAGCACAUGGGAAUAUGCACAAUGGGCGCAAGCCUGAUGCAGCGACGCCGCGUGAGGGAUGACGGCCUUCGGGUUGUAAACCUCUUUCGCCAGGACGAAGCGCAAGUGACGGUACCUGGAGAAGAAGGACCGGCCAACUACGUGCCAGCAGCCGCGGUAAUACGUAGGGUCCGAGCGUUGUCCGGAAUUACUGGGCGUAAAGAGCUCGUAGGUGGUUUGUCGCGUUGUUCGUGAAAACUCACAGCUCAACUGUGGGCGUGCGGGCGAUACGGGCAGACUGGAGUACUGCAGGGGAGACUGGAAUUCCUGGUGUAGCGGUGGAAUGCGCAGAUAUCAGGAGGAACACCGGUGGCGAAGGCGGGUCUCUGGGCAGUAACUGACGCUGAGGAGCGAAAGCGUGGGGAGCGAACAGGAUUAGAUACCCUGGUAGUCCACGCCGUAAACGGUGGGUACUAGGUGUGGGUUUCCUUCCUUGGGAUCCGUGCCGUAGCUAACGCAUUAAGUACCCCGCCUGGGGAGUACGGCCGCAAGGCUAAAACUCAAAGAAAUUGACGGGGGCCCGCACAAGCGGCGGAGCAUGUGGAUUAAUUCGAUGCAACGCGAAGAACCUUACCUGGGUUUGACAUGCACAGGACGUGCCUAGAGAUAGGUAUUCCCUUGUGGCCUGUGUGCAGGUCGUGCAUGGCUGUC
rnacentral:rRNA from 1 species